GACCUGCAAAGGGAGAUGGACCUUUCACUCUGACGCACUUGGACAGGUGUCACUGAGCGAAGGAGGGCAGCAGCUUGGACUGGGGCUGCCCCGAGGUCAGACAGAAGCAGAGAGAAGGUCACACUGAUGGAUGUGGUGACAGAUUGAAAGGGGAGCUGAAAGAGAAGUCAGGAGUGAUUCUUGUGGUUUGGGCUUGCAGCACUGGGUGGCUGUUCACUCAGCUAUUGGCGGAGAUGGGGGCUCUGAGAGAAGACAGGUUCUGCGGGUGCAUCACGAGCUCACUUGGGACAAGGGCUUAGUGGCGCCCAGAAUACGGAUGGGUCCCAGCAGCUUCGCUGGGGGGCGGCACCAUGGAGAUUCAGCCCUGCUGGAGUGCUAGCACAGAACUGGCACCACAGACCGCCCUGGAGGAGCACCCACCAGGUCUCCUGGGACCCUCUGCCUCCAGGUACAUGCUGGAACACCAACUACAGCCACCAAGGCCAGCGGUGCUGGGCUGAGGAGCUAAUAAGGGCGAUAAAAGUGACUGCUGAUAACUGUGCAGCAGGGCCAUUGCUGGCCUUUCAGGAAACGUCCUUCUGAACCUAUCUUAUUUCCUCUACAGACAUAGGGCCAACUUUCCUUGAAGCACUGUCAUAAGCAACCAUUAAGAUAAUGAAUAAAUCAAAGUACCCUUCCUUUC